rnacentral:rRNA from 1 species
GACGAACGCUGGCGGCGUGCUUAACACAUGCAAGUCGAACGGGAAGGCCCUGCUUUUGUGGGGUGCUCGAAUGGCGAACGGGUGAGUAACACGUGAGUAACCUGCCCUUGACUUUGGGAUAACUUCAGGAAACUGGGGCUAAUACCGGAUAGGAGCUCCUGCUGCAUGGUGGGGGUUGGAAAGUUUCGGCGGUUGGGGAUGGACUCGCGGCUUAUCAGCUUGUUGGUGGGGUAGUGGCUUACCAAGGCUUUGACGGGUAGCCGGCCUGAGAGGGUGACCGGCCACAUUGGGACUGAGAUACGGCCCAGACUCCUACGGGAGGCAGCAGUGGGGAAUAUUGCACAAUGGGCGGAAGCCUGAUGCAGCAACGCCGCGUGCGGGAUGACGGCCUUCGGGUUGUAAACCGCUUUCGCCUGUGACGAAGCGUGAGUGACGGUAAUGGGUAAAGAAGCACCGGCUAACUACGUG